UGAAUACGAGACGCUACGGCGUCGAAGCAGUCGAUGUCAUACUUCCAAGAAAAGCUUGCAAUGUCAUAAACAAAUAAUGCCUGUACCAUAACCGACACAGGUGGGUAGGUAGAGUAUACUAAGGGGCGCGAGAUAACUCUCUCUAAGGAACUCGGCAAAAUGACUCCGUAACUUCGGGAGAAGGAGUGCCUUAUUUAUAAGAUUGCAAUAACAAGAUCCAAGCAACUGUUUAUCAAAAACACAGGUCUCCGCUAAGUCGUAAGACGAUGUAUGGGGGCUGACGCCUGCCCAGUGCCAGAAGGUUAAAGAAGUUGGUUAGCAUUCGCGAAGCUGAUAACUGAAGCCCUGGUGAACGGCGGCCGUAACUAUAACGGUCCUAAGGUAGCGAAAUUCCUUGUCGGGUAAGUUCCGACCCGCACGAAAGGCGUAAUGAUUUGGAUACUGUCUCGGAGAGGGACUCGGUGAAAUAGACUUGUCUGUGAAGAUGCGGACUACCUGCACCUGGACAGAAAGACCCUAUGAAGCUUUACUGUAACUUGAAAUUGAAAUUGGACUUUAUUUGCGCAGUAUAGGUGGGAGGCGUUGAGAAUAUUCUUGCGGGAAUAUUGGAGCCAUCAGUGAGAUACCACUCUUGUAAUGUUAGAUUUCUAACUUUGCAUCAUUAUCUGGUCAAAGAACAGUUUCAGGCGGGCAGUUUGACUGGGGCGGUCGCCUCCCAAACGGUAACGGAGGCGUACAAAGGUUUCCUCUGAACGGGUAGAAAUCGUAUCUAGAGUGUAAAGGCAUAAGGAAGCUUGACUGUGAGACCUACAAGUCGAGCAGGGACGAAAGUCGGUCUUAGUGAUCUGACGGUGCUGAGUGGAAAGGCCGUCACUCAACGGAUAAAAGUUACUCUAGGAUAACAGGCUGAUCUCCCCCAAGAGUUCACAUCGACGGGGAGGUUUGGCACCUCGAUGUCGGCUCAUCGCAUCCUGGGGCGGUAGUACGUCCCAAGGGUUGGGCUGUUCGCCCACGAAAGCGGUACGCGAGCUGGGUUCAGAACGUCGUGAGACAGUUCGGUCCAUAUCCGGUGUAGGCGUUAGAAUAUUGAGAGGAGCCUUCUUUAGUACGAGAGGACCGAGAAGGACAUACCUCUGGUGUACCAGUUAUCGUGCCAACGGUAAACGCUGGGUAGCUAUGUAUGGAGAGGAUAACCGCUGAAAGCAUCUAAGUGGGAAGCCCACCUCAAAAUAAGUAUUCC
rnacentral:rRNA from 1 species